CAUGCCGCGUGUGUGAAGAAGGCCUUAGGGUUGUAAAGCACUUUCAGCAGGGAGGAAAGCUGAUCGUUAAUACCGGUCAGUGUUGACGUUACCUGCAGAAGAAGCACCGGCUAACUCCGUGCCAGCAACCUCGGUGACUGAGCGGGCUGGCAAGGCGCAUA
rnacentral:rRNA from 1 species